AUUCUUAUUUCUUUUGCAGGUUCUCAGUGACUACGACUCGAGUGUCCUUUGUGUCUGUUACCCUCAGAUUCUGCCUCCUGAAAUUUACAACAUUUUAUGGGAUCAAAUUCUUCGUGCCUGUUACCAUACACUACUUGACGGAUUUUCCGCUGUAAGAAAAUGCACGAACGAAGGUCGUGCACUAAUGCAGUUAGACUUCAGGCAUUUUCAAGUCAAAGUGGAAAGCUUGACACGUCUAAGACCUCUUCCUGACCCACAUAUUGUCGAAACAUACAUAAAGGCAUAUUAUUUACCUGAAAAUUCUUUCGAAAAAUGGAUUCAAGAACAAACGGAAUAUACUCCUAGGCAGAUGAUGAAUCUUCUUCAAUACGUAAGUCAAGGCAGUAAAAAGAUUCGGCUGAACUGAACUUCC